rnacentral:rRNA from 1 species
UGGGGGAUAUUGCACAAUGGGCGAAAGCCUGAUGCAGCGACGCCGCGUGGGGGAUGAAGGCCUUCGGGUUGUAAACUUCUUUUGCUCUGAACAAGGCAUGCCUUUGGGGUGUGUUGUGUGUAGGGGUUGAUUAGCGCCGGCUAACUACGUGCCAGCAGCCGCGGUAAUACGUAGGGCGCGAGCGUUGUCCGGAAUUAUUGGGCGUAAAGGGCUUGUAGGUGGCUGGUUGCGUCUGUCGUGAAAGCUCAUGGCUUAACUGUGGGUUUGCGGUGGGUACGGGCUGGCUUGAGUGCAGUAGGGGAGGCUGGAAUUCCUGGUGUAGCGGUGGAAUGCGCAGAUAUCAGGAGGAAUACCGGUGGCGAAGGCGGGUCUCUGGGCUGUUACUGACGCUGAGGAGCGAAAGCGUGGGGAGCGAACAGG